rnacentral:pre_miRNA from 1 species
GUAUUACUCCCUCCGUCCUAAAUUACUUGUCUUAAAUUUGUCUAGAUAUGGAUGUAUCUAGACAUGUUUUAGUGUUAGAUACAUCCGUAUCUAGAUAAAUCUAAGACAAGUAAUUUGGGACGGAGGGAGUAUUAU